rnacentral:rRNA from 1 species
UACGUAGGGGGCAAGCGUUGUCCGGAAUCAUUGGGCGUAAAGCGCGUGUAGGCGGUUCGAUAAGUCUGCUGUGAAAGUCCAGGGCUCAACCCUGGGAUGCCGGUGGAUACUGUCGGACUAGAGUACGGAAGGGGCGAGUGGAAUUCCCGGUGUAGCGGUGAAAUGCGCAGAUAUCGGGAGGAACACCAAUUGCGAAGGCAGCUCGCUGGGACGUUACUGACGCUGAGACGCGAAAGCGUGGGGAGCAAACAGG